rnacentral:lncRNA from 1 species
GGAGCCUGUGCCCCCUGCCCAGUCGCUUUCGGGGCGCUGAGGAGCUUCCGCUGCCAUCUUCGGAUGCUGUGUCCCGCACGGAGGGUCCACCAGGGCAGGGAUAGUGGUUCAAACAAUACAGAAGUGUAUAAAGUAAGAAUUGGAAGUCUCUUCGCUGCUCUAAUCUCACUCCUCAGAGGUGAUCACUGUGUGGAAGAUGAUCAAAGUAUGACAUUUCUUCUACCCCAGAGGCUGGCAUUUCUGCAGGCACAAAUGAGCUUGGUUUUCAAGCACUGCUCUUUGAACACAAGGAAUUCCUUUAAUGAUCACGCCGGACUAUAUAGACUUUGGAAUCAGACUCUUUGAAUUCCAGCUCUGCCAUUUACCAACUUUGACACUUUGGACAACGUCUCAUUCUGUCACCCAGGCUGGAGUGCAAUGGCACAAUUAUAGCUCACUGCAGCCUCAAACACCUGGGCUCAAGCAAUCCUUCCACCUCUGCCUCCUGAGUAAUUGGGACUACAGGCAUGUGCCACCACACCCAGCUAAUUUUUAAUUUUUAAUUUUUUUGUAGAGAUGGCGGUCUUGCUAUGUCACCCAGGCUGGUCUUGAACACCUGGCCUCAAGUGAUCCUCCGGCCUUGGUCUCUCAAAGCUCUGGGAUUACAGACAUGAGCCACUGCACCCGGCUCUAUCUCCCCUUCCUAUGUGUGUUAGCUCUAGAACAAGAGAAGCCUUGUUGAGAUUCCUGGCUGCCCACCCCCCAUCACCUCUCUGACUUUGGGCAAGUUGCCUGGCCUCUCUCAGCCUUUAUUUUCUUUUUGUGAAAUGGGGAUAAUAAUAGUACUUGCCUCAUAGGCAAAAUGUUGUGAGAACUAAACGAGAAAAUGCAUGUAAAGCACUUGGCACUUAGUUCUUUUUAUGAUUAUAAUGAUAAUCAGACACAAUAAAUUAUGUCUCACAUCACAUGCUGUUUAGCCUAUUCACUGUUCUAUUUUUCCUGAAGUCAGUUCAGUGUGUAGCAUCC